UUGGAGGGCAAGUCUGGUGCCAGCAGCCGCGGUAAUUCCAGCUCCAAUAGCGUAUAUUAAAGUUGUUGCAGUUAAAAAGCUCGUAGUUGAAUUUCGGGAUCAGAUUGUCGGUCGUGCCUCGGUACGUACUGGCAUUAUUGGUUCCUACCUUCUGAAGAACCGCGAUGUCAUUAAUUUGGUGUCGUGGGGAAUCAGGACUGUUACUUUGAAAGAAUUAGAGUGUUUAAAGCAGGCGCACGCUUGAAUACAUUAGCAUGGAAUAAUGAAAUAGGACGUUUGAUUCUAUUUUGUUGGUUUCUAGGAUCGACGUAAUGAUUAAUAGGGAUAGUUGGGGGCAUUAGUAUUCAAUUGUCAGAGGUGAAAUUCUUGGAUUUAUUGAAGACUAACUACUGCGAAAGCAUUUGCCAAGGAUGUUUUCAUUAAUCAAGAACGAAAGUUAGGGGAUCGAAGACGAUCAGAUACCGUCGUAGUCUUAACCAUAAACUAUGCCGACUAGGGAUCGGAUGAUGUUAAUUUUAUAAUGGCUCAUUCGGCGCCUUACGGGAAACCAAAGUGUUUGGGUUC
rnacentral:rRNA from 1 species